rnacentral:lncRNA from 1 species
AGAAUGGGUACUUUGGGGGCCUCGGUUGGUCAAAGUUGUCCCCUACUUUGACCUGGACAUCAACUUGAUCUUCUGAUAUCUCUCUGGUUGUCUGUUUCCGACGAGUGGCCCGGUUAUUCUCUCCGAGUACUUCGGCUUCCUCCACCAUAAUAAUAGACUUCCCGGUGUCCUACACGCUCCCUUGGGCGGACGGUGUUGAGUGGGGAUUGUUCGGGUGGUGGGAUAAUAUUGUAAAGGACACAUCUCCAUUAAUCCUAAGGGUGUGUACAUGGAUCCGCUGUACCCUUGCAGUCAAUCAAGGGGUGCGUCUUAAUUGACGGAAUCUCGAGUACAUACAUACAUAUGGCCGUGGCUAUUUGACCGGCACCGGCAAAAUGGCAAAUUUGCUACUUAGCCGGCUCUGAUUAAAUUAUUAU